GUUAUUAUAGCUUAUAUCAAGCAUAGCACUGAAAAUGCUAAGAUGGUCCACCCCUAGUAACA
rnacentral:tRNA from 1 species